UCCAGCCUGCCCAGUGAUACUAUUUAACGGCCGCGGUACUCUAACCGUGCGAAGGUAGCAUAAUAACUUGUUCUUUAAAUGAGGACUAGAAUCAACGGCAUCACGAGGGUUACACUGUCUCCUUUCCCCAAUCAGUGAAACUGAUCUCCCCGUGAAGAAGCGGGGAUAGACAUAUAAGACGAGAAGACCCUAUGGAGCUUUAAACCCAACAGUUACUUCUGUUCUAAUAUACCUCUUUAUACAGCAGAAUUUUAAUUGUCUGGUUUUAGGUUGGGGUGACCGCGGAGUAUAAAACAACCUCCACGACGAAUGGGUUAACCAACCCCCUUAUCUAAGAGCUACACCUCUAAGAAUUAGUAAUCUAACGUAAGCUGAUCCGACUGUCGAUCAACGAACCAAGUUACCCUAGGGAUAACAGCGCAAUCCACUUUAAGAGCUCCUAUCGACAAGUGGGUUUACGACCUCGAUGUUGGAUCAGGGUAUCCUAGUGGUGCAGCAGCUACUAAUGGUUCGUUUGUUCAACGAUUAAAACCCU
rnacentral:rRNA from 1 species